UACGUAGGGGGCAAGCGUUGUCCGGAAUCAUUGGGCGUAAAGAGCGUGUAGGCGGCUCGGUAAGUCCGCUGUGAAAGUCGGGGGCUCAACCCUCGGAUGCCGGUGGAUACUGUCGGGCUAGAGUGCGGAAGAGGCGAGUGGAAUUCCUGGUGUAGCGGUGAAAUGCGCAGAUAUCAGGAGGAACACCAAUUGCGAAGGCAGCUCGCUGGGACGUGACUGACGCUGAGACGCGAAAGCGUGGGGAGCAAACAGG
rnacentral:rRNA from 1 species